rnacentral:rRNA from 1 species
AUGCAAUGGAGCAUAUUCUUGAAGAACUUCUCCGCUGUUAGCAGGCCAACAAGCGAAACAAGCAUAGACCGACCAAAAACACAUAGUGCACUUCCUAUAGAUAGCACUAUGUAUACGAAGAAAAUAAGGCCUAAUCCAACCCUUGGGGUGGUUGCAGACGUUGGAGGACACGCCCAUGCCAUCCAAUAG